rnacentral:rRNA from 1 species
GACAGAGGCCUCAAGCGUUAGGCGGAAUCACUGGGCUUAAAGCGUGUGUAGGCGGAUCGUUAAGUGUCUUGUGAAAUCCCACGGCUCACCCGUGGAACUGCUGGGCAUACUGGCGAUCUUGGGCCAACUAGGGGCAGCCGGAACAAGCGGUGGAGCGGUGAAAUGCGUAGAUAUCGCUUGGAACGCCAAUGGUGAAAACAGCUAGCUGGGAGUGUGCCGACGCUGAGACACGAAAGCCAGGGGAGCGAACGGG